rnacentral:rRNA from 1 species
UUUAAAGUCUGACCUGCCCACUGAAUUGAAAAAAUUUGAAGGGCCGCGGUAUUUUGACCGUGCAAAGGUAGCAUAAUCAUUAGUCUUUUAAUUGAAGGCUGGAAUGAAUGGUUGGACGAGGUAUUGACUGUCUCAAUGUAAAUGACAAUAGAAUUUAUCUUUUAAGUCAAAAGACUUAAAUAGUAUUAGAGGACGAGAAGACCCUAUAGAGCUUUAUAUUUAAAGAUUAUUAUUUAUUUAGAAGUAUUUUUAUAAUAGUGAUAUAAAUAUUUUGUUGGGGUGACAGGAAGAUAUAAUAAACUCUUUUUAGUUUAAUUACAUUUAUUUAUGAAUUGAUGAUCCAUUAUUAGUGAUUACAAGACUAAGUUACCUUAGGGAUAACAGCGUAAUCUUUUUCGAGAGUUCUUAU